rnacentral:rRNA from 1 species
GGACUGCAUGUCUAGUAUAAGCAAUUAUACCGUGAAACUGCGAAUGGCUCAUUAAAUCAGUUAUCGUUUAUUUGAUAGUACCUUACUACUUGGAUAACCGUGGUAAUUCUAGAGCUAAUACAUGCUUACAACCUCGACUUCGGAAGGGGUGUAUUUAUUAGAUAAAAAACCAACGCCCUUCGGGGCUUCUUGGUGAUUCAUGAUAACUUUACGGAUCGCAUGGCCUUGCGCCGGCGACGGUUCAUUCAAAUUUCUGCCCUAUCAACUUUCGAUGGUAAGGUAUUGGCUUACCAUGGUUUCAACGGGUAACGGGGAAUUAGGGUUCGAUUCCGGAGAGGGAGCCUGAGAAACGGCUACCACAUCCAAGGAAGGCAGCAGGCGCGCAAAUUACCCAAUCCCAAUACGGGGAGGUAGUGACAAUAAAUACUGAUACAGGGCUCUUUUGGGUCUUGUAAUUGGAAUGAGUACAAUUUAAACCUCUUAACGAGGAACAAUUGGAGGGCAAGUCUGGUGCCAGCAGCCGCGGUAAUUCCAGCUCCAAUAGCGUAUAUUAAAGUUGUUGCAGUUAAAAAGCUCGUAGUUGAACCUUGGGUCUGGCUGGCAGGUCCGCCUCACCGCGUGUACUUGUCCGGCCGGGCCUUCCUUCUGGAGAACCUCAUGCCCUUCACUGGGCGUGUUGGGGACCAGGACUUUUACUUUGAAAAAAUUAGAGUGUUCAAAGCAGGCCUUUGCUCGAAUACGUUAGCAUGGAAUAAUAGAAUAGGACGUGCGGUCCUAUUUUGUUGGUUUCUAGGACCGCCGUAAUGAUUAAUAGGGACAGUCGGGGGCAUCAGUAUUCAAUUGUCAGAGGUGAAAUUCUUGGAUUUAUUGAAGACUAACUACUGCGAAAGCAUUUGCCAAGGAUGUUUUCAUUAAUCAGUGAACGAAAGUUAGGGGAUCGAAGACGAUCAGAUACCGUCGUAGUCUUAACCGUAAACUAUGCCGACUAGGGAUCGGGCGAUGUUAUUUUUCUGACUCGCUCGGCACCUUACGAGAAAUCAAAGUUUUGGGUUCUGGGGGGAGUAUGGUCGCAAGGCUGAAACUUAAGAAUUGACGAGGCACCACCAGGCGUAAACGUUAUUUGUUGCCGCAGUAGCUCUGCGCCAGAAGGAGCCAGUAUGUAGUGUGCCGUCGUAAUCCUAGUCCUUGGCUACCUUGCCUGGGGCGAGACCCUCAAU